rnacentral:rRNA from 1 species
UACGUGGGGGGCAAGCGUUGUUCGGAAUUACUGGGCGUAAAGGGUCUGUAGGUGGCUUGCUAAGUCAGACGUGAAAUCCCUCAGCUUAACUGGGGAACUGCGUCUGAGACUGGCGAGCUUGAGGGCAGGAGAGGAACGCGGAAUUCCAGGUGUAGCGGUGAAAUGCGUAGAUAUCUGGAGGAACACCGGUGGCGAAGGCGGCGUUCUGGACUGCAUCUGACACUGAAAGACGAAAGCCAGGGGAGCAAACGGG